CCCUUGGAUGACGAAGAGAUGGUCUCGUUCAUCCUUACCAGUCUCAACGUCGACUACAAUCCAAUCGUGUUAGCUAUCGUGGCGCGAGUUGAACUAGUCUCUGUAAGUGAACUAUAUGCUCAACUUCUAAGUUUUGAAA